rnacentral:rRNA from 1 species
AGUGAACGCUGGCGGUAGGCCUAACACAUGCAAGUCGAACGGCAGCACAGUAAGAGCUUGCUCUUACGGGUGGCGAGUGGCGGACGGGUGAGGAAUACAUCGUAAUCUACUUUUUCGUGGGGGAUAACGUAGGGAAACUUACGCUCAUAUCGCAUACGACCUACGGGUGAAAGCAGUGGAUCUUCGGACCUUGCGCGAUUGAAUGAGCGGAUGUCGGAGUAGCUAGUUGGCGGGGUAAAGGCCCACCAAGGCGACGAUCCGUAGCUGGUCUGAGAGGAGGAGCAGCCACGCUGGAACUGAGACACGGACCAGACUCGUACGGGAGGCAGCAGUGGUGAAUAUUGGAGCAGGGGCGAAAGCCGGAUCCAGCCAUACCGCGUGGGUGAAGAAGGCCGUGGGGUUGAAAAGCCCUUUUGGGGGGAAAGAAAAGCAGCAGGUUAAUACCCCGCUGUUCUGAGGGUACCCAAAGAAUAAGCACCGGCAAACUGCG